AUUGAACGCUGGCGGCAGGCCUAACACAUGCAAGUCGAGCGGAUGAAGGGAGCUUGCUCCUGGAUUCAGCGGCGGACGGGUGAGUAAUGCCUAGGAAUCUGCCUGGUAGUGGGGGAUAACGUCCGGAAACGGGCGCUAAUACCGCAUACGUCCUGAGGGAGAAAGUGGGGGAUCUUCGGACCUCACGCUAUCAGAUGAGCCUAGGUCGGAUUAGCUAGUUGGUGGGGUAAAGGCCUACCAAGGCGACGAUCCGUAACUGGUCUGAGAGGAUGAUCAGUCACACUGGAACUGAGACACGGUCCAGACUCCUACGGGAGGUAGCAGUGGGGAAUAUUGGACAAAGGGCGAAAGCCUGAUCCAGCCAUGCCGCGUGUGUGAAGAAGGUCUUCGGAUUGUAAAGCACUUUAAGUUGGGAGGAAGGGCAGUAAGUUAAUACCUUGCUGUUUUGACGUUACCAACAGAAUAAGCACCGGCUAACUUCGUG
rnacentral:rRNA from 1 species